AACGAACGCUGGCGGCAUGCCUCAUACAUGCAAGUCGAACGAGAAAGUCCCUUCGGGGGCGAUUAAAGUGGCGCACGGGUGAGUAACACGUAGGUGACCUACCCUUUAGUCGGGACAACUCGAGGAAACUCGGGCUAAUACCGGAUGUGAUGGAAGACUUUGGAAGUAUUUCAUGAAAGAUGGCCUCGGCCAUCGCUAGAGGAAGGGCCUGCGGCCAAUUAGCUUGAUGGUGGGGUAAUGGCCUACCAUGGCGAUGAUUGGUAACCGGUCUGAGAGGACGAUCGGUCACACUGGAACUGAGACACGGUCCAG
rnacentral:rRNA from 1 species